rnacentral:lncRNA from 1 species
UCAUACUUUAAAUAUUCAACAUUCUAAAAUAAGGUUGGAAGUUUGAUAAUUCAAAAAUUAGAUGAAAAUUAUUUUUUAAAUAUUAAUAAUAUUAUCAUAAAAUUAAACCCCACUCCAAACCCUAACUCUUUUACUCUCUCUCUCUCUCUACACUACCCACGCUUUCUAUUGACGCCGUCAAUCUCUCUCUACUGCCCACCCUCUUUAUACCGACGAUGUCACAUGACCAGCAGCACUCAUCUUCCACAGGCGCCUUGCAACAGUAGAUGCACGUGUUACAGAUCUGUAAGAUCGUCGACUGGCUGGGGCUAUGGGAUUGUUGAUGAGAAUGAAGGUGCCGUAACAAAUCUGUGAAGGAGUGGCUGUCGGUGAGGUGAACUGGUGAACAAUAUGAUGGUAGAAAUGGGUGAUCGACGACGAUUUGCUUUAAGGGUGUGAGUUGGUGGUCCGAUGAGAUUUGGGUAAGCAGGGACAAGCGAGUUUCUAAUUUGUUAGGUGUGGAUAGAUACUAUUUUGGAGGAGGCUCUUAGUGAUUUAUUUGUUGAUUUGGAGAGAUGAUGAUGAAAAUAUGGUGGUCCACGAUGUUGUAAUGAGUUGAUCUAGCCGGCAAAGGACAGGACACACGGGCAGUGGUUUUGUGGGUUUUUUUGGUGGUUCGGAAAUUAAGGUGCAGUGGCGCGACGACUGCAGUGGCGAUGGUAGUGUUAGCGAUGGCGGUGACGGCGGUGGUAGUGUGGUGCUGGUGGUUGCAAUUGCAGGGAUUGUGUGGUAUGAAAGUGUUUAUGAUCAACUAUUUAGGGCGGGUGGUGAGGUGAUGGUUGUGAUAUUGGCUGUGGUGGUGAAGUCGGGGCAGUGGUUGUGGGUGGUUGGAUGAUUUUUUAUUUUUUGGGUGAAGGUUUUGUUGGUGUUUGGACGACAAUUAUGGUUUUGCGAGGUCUGGUGGUGGUAACGGUGAUAGUGAUGGUGGUUGUCGUGGUGAUUAUAGCAAUGGUUGUGGGUGGGAUGAGAUGGAGUUGGAUUAAUUAUUUGGUUGAUUGUGAAUGUGACUUAAAAAUUGUGAUUGUGACACACAAGUGAUUAAGUUAUGAUCGAAAAAUUAAUUGUGACAAUAAUCUAAUAAUUUGAAAUGAAUAAAUGAGUUAUGAUCAAUAAUAAUUUUGAUUUUGUCAUCGAUGAAUAAUUUGUGAAUUAUAAAAUUUUUUAUUUGUUAUUGAAAAAUAAUUUAUGACGUAUAAAAUUUUUGAUGUGUGAUCAAAAAAUAAGUUGUGAUC